UACGUAGGUGGCAAGCGUUGUUCGGAAUUAUUGGGCGUAAAGGGCUCGUAGGCGGUUUGUCGCGUCGGGAGUGAAAUCCACUGGCUUAACUGGUGGCUUGCUUUCGAUACGGGCAGACUGGAGGUAUGCAGGGGAGAACGGAAUUCCUGGUGUAGCGGUGAAAUGCGCAGACACCAGGAGGAACACCGGUGGCGAAGGCGGUUCUCUGGGCAUGUCCUGACGCUGAGGAGCGAAAGUGUGGGGAGCGAACAGG
rnacentral:rRNA from 1 species